UGGGGAAUAUUGCACAAUGGGGGAAACCCUGAUGCAGCGACGCCGCGUGAGUGAAGAAGUAUUUCGGUAUGUAAAGCUCUAUCAGCAGGGAAGAAAACAGACGGUACCUGACUAAGAAGCCCCGGCUAACUACGUGCCAGCAGCCGCGGUAAUACGUAGGGGGCAAGCGUUAUCCGGAAUUACUGGGUGUAAAGGGUGCGUAGGUGGCAUGGUAAGUCAGAAGUGAAAGCCCGGGGCUUAACCCCGGGACUGCUUUUGAAACUGUCAUGCUGGAGUGCAGGAGAGGUAAGCGGAAUUCCUAGUGUAGCGGUGAAAUGCGUAGAUAUUAGGAGGAACACCAGUGGCGAAGGCGGCUUACUGGACUGUCACUGACACUGAUGCACGAAAGCGUGGGGAGCAAACAGGAUUAGAUACCC
rnacentral:rRNA from 1 species